rnacentral:rRNA from 1 species
CGGGUUUUAAUUAACUUGGUNACGCAGCUAACGCGUGAAGUAGACCGCCUGGGGAGUACGGUCGCCAAGAUUAAAACUCAAAGGAAUUGAACGGGGACCCGCACAAGCGGUGGAUGAUGUGGAUUAAUUCGAUGCAACGCGAAAAACCUUACCUACCCUUGACAUGGCAAGAACCCUUGAGAGAUCAGGGGGUGCUCGAAAGAGAACUUGUACACAGGUGCUGCAUGGCUGUCGUCAGCUCGUGUCGUGAGAUGUUGGGUUAAGUCCCGCAACGAGCGCAACCCUUGUCAUUAGUUGCUACGAAAGAGCACUCUAAUGAGACUGCCGGUGACAAACCGGAGGAAGGUGGGGAUGACGUCAAGUCCUCAUGGCCCUUAUGGGUAGGGCUUCACACGUCAUACAAUGGUACAUAACAGAGGGCCGCCAACCCGNCGAGGGGGAGCUAAUCCCAGAAAGUGUAUCGUAGUCCGGAUUGUAGUCUGCAACUCGACUACAUGAAGUUGGAAUCGCUAGUAAUCGCGGAUCAGCAUGUCGCGGUGAAUACGUUCCCGGGUCUUGUACACACCGCCCGUCACACCAUGGGAGCGGGUUUUACCAGAAGUAGGUAGCUUAACCGCAAGGAGGGCGCUUACCACGGUAGGAUUCGUGACUGGGGUGAAGUCGUAACCAAGGUACC